CAUAACGUCUCUUUAGUGAAGUAAAAACGGGGAACUUAGGCGCUUGUCGGCUAUGUUAUACAGCAAUCAAAUUCUGUCCCUCAGAUUUGGAUGUGACAUCUCUCUUCAUCCCAAAUCUCAGUGAGAUGACGUCUUCAGCUCAUCAAAACUGUCAACUUGAUCCACAAAAUGACUUUGAGAAGAAAACCUUUGACAGCUGCAACUUUGGUGAUAAUAAUACUGAAAGUCUUCAUCGGACAGAUCCUCACAU